rnacentral:rRNA from 1 species
UACGGGGGGGGCAAGCGUUGUUCGGAAUUACUGGGCGUAAAGGGCUCGUAGGCGGCCAACUAAGUCCGACGUGAAAUCCCCAGGCUUAACCUGGGAACUGCGUCGGAUACUGGUUGGCUUGAAUCCGGGAGAGGGAUGCGGAAUUCCAGGUGUAGCGGUGAAAUGCGCAGAUAUCAGGAAGAACACCAAUGGCGAAAGCAGCUCUCUGGGACGGUACUGACGCUGAGACGCGAAAGCGUGGGGAGCGAACAGG